rnacentral:rRNA from 1 species
AUUGAACGCUGGCGGCAGGCCUAACACAUGCAAGUCGAACGAGUGGCGGACGGGUGAGUAAUGUCUGGGAAACUGCCUGAUGGAGGGGGUAACUACUGGAAACGGUAGCUAAUACCGCAUACCAUCGGAUGUGCCCAGAUGGGAUUAGCGAGUAGGGGGGGGAAAGGCUUACCUAGGCGACGAUCCCUAGCGGGUCUGAGAGGAUGCACAGCCACCCUGGAACUGAGACACGGGCCAGACUCCUACGGGAGGCAGCAGUGGGGAAUAUUGCACAAUGGGCGCAAGCCUGAUGCAGCCAUGCCGCGUGUAUGAAGAAGGCCUUUGGGUUGUAAAGUACUUUCAGCGGGGAGGCGUUACCCGCAGAAGAAGCACCGGCUAACUCCGUGCCAGCAGCCGCGGUAAUUC